rnacentral:misc_RNA from 1 species
AAGUCGUAACAAGGUUUCCGUAGGCGGAAGGAUCAUUAACACGUAUCCAACGUAAAACCCCCCUGUGAACUUUUUUCCUUGCUCUCUUAACUGACGGAAUUGCAAUCCCUGGUAAAUCAUUGUUGAACAGAUUUUGAUUCAGGGACCUCGUGGUUUCCCCAAGCAGUCAGUGUCUGAAAGUGGCAUUGAUUGUGUAAGGAUAACGCUUUUCGAUCACUAGAGGCCGACACCCGGUGACCAGGUCGCCGUGGCUUCGGCUAUGAUUCCGCCUCGUAGGAAACUGCUGGGCAACAAAACGAACAACUGUUAACAAUGGAUAUCUUGGUUCUC